CGCCACCUAUGGGGUUGCCCAAUUAUAUUUAACAAAGAGGAACUCUCAGACUGGGAGGAAAAGAAAGAAGUAAAACAAAACAAAAAAUUAUAUGACUUAUAUUUUUGGUAACACCAUUGCUUUAAAUAUAGUAGGAAAACACUUAUUAUUAUUAUUAUUAUUAUUAUGUUUAAUGCAAAGUUAACGCAGUGUGUCAUUAUAUCAUUGUACAUUAAAAAAAUUUUUAAAAUAUGAAAAUAAUUAUUUUUCUUAAAACUUUCAUUCUUACUCGCGUGCCAAGCCCACGAAACCGGGCAGCGGGCUUAUAUAAGCCGGGGUCUGUGCCCACCACGCGCACAGCCUGACUCCACUUUGAGUGACAUCCCCAGCAGUGCGUUUUCCUGAGUGUUGAUUGCCGUCUUAUUGUUCAGCUACAUACACCACAACGGCUCUUUUAAGAGCCACAUCUUGAGAACGUCUUUGACUUUAAAGUUCUCUACAGUCAACCACACUCGCUCAACAACUAUAUCCACAGUUCACACUUGAUCAAAACCAAGGUUGUUCCAGCUAAAAUAAACAAAACAACAACAAAAAGAACAUGUACCUGAUAGUGGAGUUCGUCGGUGAAGGGAGUACCGGUCCUGUAGCAAAUUCCUGGUACUCAGAUGGCCACUCAUGGUGGCCUCCAUACAAAGACUUGGACCGGUUACUAAAGAGCGUCAGGUUGAUGGAGGCACCACAGCCAGAUAA